GACGUAGGGCGCGAGCGUUGUCCGGAUUUAUUGGGCGUAAAGAGCUCGUAGGCGGCUUGUCGCGUCGAAUGUGAAAUCUCAGGGCUCAACCCUGAGCCUGCUUCCGAUACGGGCAGACUAGAGGUAUGCAGGGGAGAAUGGAAUUCCUGGUGUAGCGGUGAAAUGCGCAGAUAUCAGGAGGAACACCAGUGGCGAAGGCGGUUCUCUGGGCAUUACCUGACGCUGAGGAGCGAAAGUGUGGGGAGCGAACAGG
rnacentral:rRNA from 1 species